ACCAGGUAUGGUGGCGCACGCCUGUAAUCCCAGCAGCUUGGGAGGCCGAGGCAGGAGGAUCACAAGUUCAAAGCCAGCUUCAGCAAUGGCAAGGCGCUAAGCAUUCAGUGAGACCCUGUCUUUA
rnacentral:sRNA from 1 species